GUGGGGAAUCUUGCGCAAUGGGCGAAAGCCUGACGCAGCCAUGCCGCGUGAAUGAUGAAGGUCUUAGGAUUGUAAAAUUCUUUCACCGGGGACGAUAAUGACGGUACCCGGAGAAGAAGCCCCGGCUAACUUCGUGCCAGCAGCCGCGGUAAUACGAAGGGGGCGAGCGUUAUUCGGAAUCACUGGGCGUAAAGCGUGCGUAGGCGGUUUUGUAAGUUAGGAGUGAAAGCCCAGGGCUCAACCUUGGAAUUGCUCUUAAAACUGCAAGGCUCGAAUCUCGGAGAGGAUAGCGGAAUUUCCAGUGUAGCAGUGAAAUGCGUAGAUAUUGGAAGGAACACCAGUGGCGUAAGCGGCUAUCUGGACGAGUAUUGACGCUGAGGCACGAAAGCGUGGGGAUCAAACAGGAUUAGAUACCCUUGUAGUCC
rnacentral:rRNA from 1 species